UACGUAGGGUGCAAGCGUUAAUCGGAAUUACUGGGCGUAAAGCGUGCGCAGGCGGUUUUGUAAGUCUGACGUGAAAUCCCCGGGCUUAACCUGGGAAUUGCGUUGGAGACUGCAAGGCUGGAGUCUGGCAGAGGGGGGUAGAAUUCCACGUGUAGCAGUGAAAUGCGUAGAGAUGUGGAGGAACACCGAUGGCGAAGGCAGCCCCCUGGGCCAACACUGACGCUCAGGCACGAAAGCGUGGGGAGCAAACAGG
rnacentral:rRNA from 1 species